rnacentral:rRNA from 1 species
CAGCCGCCGCGGUAAUACGUAGGGUGCGAGCGUUAAUCGGAUUUACUGGGCGUAAAGCGUGCGCAGGCGGCCCGUUAAGACAGGUGUGAAAUCCCUGGGCUCAACCUAGGAAUUGCGCUUGUGACUGGCGGGCUCGAGUACGGUAGAGGGGGGUGGAAUUCCUGGUGUAGCAGUGAAAUGCGUAGAGAUCCGGAGGAACACCGAUGGCGAAGGCAGCCCCCUGGGCCUGUACUGACGCUCAUGCACGAAAGCGUGGGGAGCAAACAGGAUUAGAUACCCUGGUAGUCCACGCCCUAAACGAUGGGUACUAGCCGUUUGGUGCGCGAUAGCGCUGAGUGGCGAAGCUAACGCGAGAAGUACCCCGCCUGGGGAGUACGGCCGCAAGGUUGAAACUUAAAGGAAUUGGCGGG